ensembl:lncRNA LINC00898 long intergenic non-protein coding RNA 898
GGGGCUGGUCCUGCCUGGUCAGCCCCCAGGGGGCUUUGCCCAGACACCCCUUCCCCACCCAUGGCUCUGCUGAUUUCUCUAUAGCUGCCACCCUCUGAAAAGGGAGCUGGCAGAGUAGUUCUUAGACAUGGCACCUGGCCACCUCUGUGGCUGAAGAAGAAGGGGGUUGAGGAUUGGGGUACACACCUGUCAGUCUCCAUGCAAUGCCCCAAAGUGGACCACUGACCCCACACCACGCUGUUCUCCUCUGAGUUUUCUCACCUCUGUCCAAAUGGCUGCAGAAGCCAAAAGCCCCAGAGCCCAGCUCCCCUUCCCUCCUUUCUCUUCCAUCCUUCCAUCCUUCCAUGAGCCUGCCCCUCAUCCUCCUCAGGGCUGGAACUGGCUGCCGGAUUCCUCCCUGGCUCCGUGGGGGCUGGCUCAGCAAUCUGAGCUGCCGAUGGCUCUGUGGUCCAGCUGGGAGGAUUCAUGCCCCAUUGGGGCUGAGAGGAAUGAGGUGAGGGCUGUGGGGUUUGCCCAGAAUCUCCUGAAAUAUCGGGCCCAGGAACUACAGCAGGACUCUCAUUCCGCCUUCUGGCCACUGUUGGGGGUGACACUGGCAGGAUCCAGGGGCUCUGGAAAGCUCCAGGGGAAAUUUGAGGCAUAACCCAGCUUCUCUGAGACGGAACUCAGGGAGGAUCCAGCUCAAUCCUACAGAGGCGACCCCAAGGAAGGACCUGCCCAGGGUCACUUGGAGAGCUGGGCGGGAGGAGGGAGAAACCUCCCCCGUUCAGAGUGACAAAGCCCCCCUUGCCUCAGGGAUGGCUGAGAUCCAAGUCCUCAAAACACGCCGCCAUCUGGAGGGUGUGAGAGCGAGGUCCGUCCUCAGCAUGGACGCUGCAGUGCACACUGUUCCGUGCCAGGUGCUGGCUGACCCUGCCCUGUGGGAGGUGAUGGACAGGCACACAGGGGGAGCCCCGCAAACAAGGGGCCCUGUUACAGCAGAGUGGGAGAGCGCCUGGUAGGACGCCAAGCACCGUGGCCGGGCUGCAGAGAGGCCUGCGGGACUUGUAGACAAGACGUCAUGGAGAAGGCGGAGCUCCCAUGGGCCUUGCAGGUUUCACCAAGCAAGAGCGGAGAAGACACAGGCUGGACAAAGGAAGGUGGACGGGACAGCCAGCCGUGCAGCAGCCUCACAGGACACAGCUAUCAUUCCAUCAGGUGGGCGGCACUGCAUGAUCCCCACUAAAUUACCAGCACCUGGACUGGUGCCUGGCCCAUGGUGGAUGCCCAGGACACGCAUGCGGACUGUUUGAAGGGGGAAGGAGUGAGUAGCCCCCAGCCCUGGAGCUGGCUUCAUUCCACCUGCACGGUUCCUGGAAUGCACCAAACCCUCUCCUCCUGCCUCUUUCUACCUGCUGUGCCUGGAGACAGCAAGAGCUCCCUCUUCUCCAAGACUCCCCCGUCCCACAGCUGUCUGCCGCUCCUUGUCGGACCCGCACUCCAGGGUCACGUGUUCGGAGGAGGCUCUGGGCUUCUCUAAGAGCACCCUCGUCACCGCUACUCAAUUCUCCUGUUUGAUUUUUGCAGGGCAGCGCUGUCCAAUGGAAACAAUGCAGAC